CCAGACUCCUACGGGAGGCAGCAGUGAGGAAUAUUGGUCAAUGGGCGAGAGCCUGAACCAGCCAAGUCGCGUGAGGGAAGACGGUCCUAUGGAUUGUAAACCUCUUUUGCCGGGGAGCAAGCGUGCGUUCGUGAACGCGCGUCGAGAGUACCCGGAGAAAAAGCAUCGGCUAACUCCGUGCCAGCAGCCGCGGUAAUACGGAGGAUGCGGGCGUUAUCCGGAUUUAUUGGGUUUAAAGGGUGCGUAGGCGGGAUGCCAAGUCAGCGGUAAAAAUGCGGUGCUCAACGCCGUCGAGCCGUUGAAACUGGCGUUCUUGAGUGGGCGAGAAGUAUGCGGAAUGCGUGGUGUAGCGGUGAAAUGCAUAGAUAUCACGCAGAACUCCGAUUGCGAAGGCAGCAUACCGGCGCCCUACUGACGCUGAGGCACGAAAGCGUGGGUAUCGAACAGGAUUAGAUACCCGCGUAACA
rnacentral:rRNA from 1 species